GACGAACGCUGGCGGCGUGCUUAACGCAUGCAAGUCGAACGGAAAGGCCCUGCUUUUGUGGGGUGCUCGAGUGGCGAACGGGUGAGUAACACGUGAGUAACCUGCCCUUGACUUUGGGAUAACUUCAGGAAACUGGGGCUAAUACCGGAUAGGAGCUCCUGCUGCAUGGUGGGGGUUGGAAAGUUUCGGCGGUUGGGGAUGGACUCGCGGCUUAUCAGCUUGUUGGUGGGGUAGUGGCUUACCAAGGCUUUGACGGGUAGCCGGCCUGAAAGGGUGACCGGCCACAUUGGGACUGAGAUACGGCCCAGACUCCUACGGGAGGCAGCAGUGGGGAAUAUUGCACAAUGGGCGGAAGCCUGAUGCAGCAACGCCGCGUGCGGGAUGACGGCCUUCGGGUUGUAAACCGCUUUCGCCUGUGACGAAGCGUGAGUGACGGUAAUGGGUAAAGAAGCACCGGCUAACUACGUG
rnacentral:rRNA from 1 species